rnacentral:rRNA from 1 species
UACGUAGGGUGCAAGCGUUGUCCGGAAUUAUUGGGCGUAAAGAGCUCGUAGGCGGCUUGUCGCGUCGAAUGUGAAAUCCUGCGGCUCAACUGCAGGCUUGCAUUCGAUACGGGCAGGCUCGAGUUCGGUAGGGGAGACUGGAAUUCCUGGUGUAGCGGUGAAAUGCGCAGAUAUCAGGAGGAACACCGGUGGCGAAGGCGGGUCUCUGGGCCGAUACUGACGCUGAGGAGCGAAAGCGUGGGGAGCGAACAGG